UGAGCGGCAGACAGCAACUGAUCUUGUUAUCUUUGUUUAUUAUCCGACCUGUUUCGUCUGAUCAAACAGACUUUAUCACGGAUUCUAACCAGUUGUUGUGUGCCACUCACCAGUCUCUAUUUAAAAAAAAUUGUUAAAAAAAAAUAUUACAUUACUGACCUUCAUUUGCAAGUGUAAGCAGCUGCUCUGUUUCACAGCGAAGCGCUGAUCUUGCGUUUGUAGCAUUUGAAUCGACUCUACGUGUGCUGAUGUGGAGCGAUCGAUGUCUCUAGUGCUUGCGUGAUUCCUUGCGCCCAACGCUCUUAGCGGAUUCUCUUCAAAAGGUCAACCAUUCAUCCGUGAAGUUCAAUUUAAAACUUGAAAGUUGAAUGUUGAAACGUGAAUGU